UCUUGCUGUCGCCCAGGCUGGAGUGCAGUGGCGCGAUCUCGGCUCACUGCAGGCUCCACCCCCCGGGGUUCACGCCAUUCUCCUGCCUCAGCCUCCCGAGAAGCUGGGAAUACAGGCGCCCGCCACCUCGCCCAGCUAAUUUUUUGUAUUUUUAGUAGAGACGGGGUUUCAGUGUUAGCCAGAAUGGUCUCGAUCUCCUGACCUCAUGAUCCGCCUGCCUCGGCCUCCCAAAGUGCUGGGAUUACAGGAGUCGUAAUGUCUUUUUAUGAUCAGCAGGAUGGUUAACGGAUAUUUGCUGUCAGACCCCAGUGAGUUUUAGCACUUCUACUUACUAGCUGUGUGACUUUAGACAUUAUUCUAAGCCUCAGUUUCCCCAUAUGUAAAAUCAAACUUAUAGAAUUGGAGAGAAUUGAGUGCACAUAAAGCACUUAGGCUCACAGAAAGCACUGAAAAAUGUUAUUAUUAAUAUUUUCGCCCUAAAAUCUCCAACAAUAAACCAAAUUCUGACUUGCUCUGGCUCCUUUUGGACUAGUCUAGAGGCAAAGAGACAAACUAUAUGAUUUCUCAAGGAGUUUUUCUGCUCAGAGGCUUGAGUCUGGGGACUCCACACAAUAUUCGAAGACAUUCUUCCUUCUUUCUGCUGCCUUGCAACCUGCAGACCUCCCACCUGUGUUAAAUGAAGAAUGCUUGAAGUGAGGUUACUCAGAACCCACCCGGUUCAUGUUUUCUCAAGGGUAGAAGGCGGGAAGAAAUCUGUUGACACAGUUAUAUAAAGCCUGUCAUUCAGUCCCCUGCCUAUUACCUCUGCAGACCGUUAUGCAUAUUAAAGAAGGGGGGGCGGCAAAUACAAAAGAAAAAUAAGAGAGACGAGAGAGAGAGAGAAAGAGAGAGAGAGAGAGAGAGAACGAACAAAUCAGGAUGCUUGAGGGAAUCCACGUGGUCGCCAAUCUGUAACUGAUCAGAGCAGCUACACUGAAGCAAAAACCCCAGCGCCCAACGCUAAAUAUAUUGCAAUGGAGAAACCGUCCACAAUGGGGUGUCUCUGUCCUUAGCAGAGCCUUGGGGCUGCCGUUUAAGACCCUCCUGCUACUCCCACCCUUUUAGCAUCUAGUAAACCACG
rnacentral:lncRNA from 10 species